rnacentral:lncRNA from 1 species
UGAGUUUUUACUUUCACACACACACACACACACAUAUAUAUAUAUAUAUAUAUAUAUAUAUUAGAUUAGAUAGGGUUCUUAUUGUUUUGCUUACAAUGAUCAUAAUAUUAAUGUAUUUGGCUGUUAUUAAAGGUAUAUAAUAUAUAUAUCAAUGACAUUGUUGACCAUUAUUAAAAUUCAGUACUUAAUAUAGCUAUUGAAAUGUG